rnacentral:rRNA from 1 species
AUACGGAGGGUGCAAGCGUUAUUCGGAAUCACUGGGCGUAAAGGACGCGUAGGCGGGUUGGCAAGUCAGAUGUGAAAUCCUACAGCUUAACUGUAGAACUGCAUUUGAAACUGCUAACCUAGAGUAUGGGAGGGGGAGAUGGAAUUAGUGGUGUAGGGGUAAAAUCCGUAGAUAUCACUAGGAAUACCGAGAGCGAAGGCGAUCUCCUGGAACAUAACUGACGCUAAGGCGUGAAAGCGUGGGGAGCAAACAGGAUUAGAAACCCUAGUAGUCC